rnacentral:rRNA from 1 species
AUUGAACGCUGGCGGCAGGCUUAACACAUGCAAGUCGAGCGGGGGAAGGUAGCUUGCUACCGGACCUAGCGGCGGACGGGUGAGUAAUGCUUAGGAAUCUGCCUAUUAGUGGGGGACAACAUCUCGAAAGGGAUGCUAAUACCGCAUACGUCCUACGGGAGAGAGCAGGGGAUCUUCGGACCUUGCGCUAAUAGAUGAGCCUAAGUCGGAUUAGCUAGUUGGUGGGGUAAAGGCCUACCAAGGCGACGAUCUGUAGCGGGUCUGAGAGGAUGAUCCGCCACACUGGGACUGAGACACGGCCCAGACUCCUACGGGAAGCAGCAGUGGGGAAUAUUGGACAAUGGGGGGAACCCUGAUCCAGCCAUGCCGCGUGUGUGAAGAAGGCCUUAUGGUUGUAAAGCACUUUAAGCGAGGAGGAGGCUACUUUAGUUAAUACCUAGAGAUAGUGGACGUUACUCGCAGAAUAAGCACCGGCUAACUCUGUGCCAGCCGCCGCGGUAA